UACGGAGGGGCAAGCGUUGUUCGGAAUUACUGGGCGUAAAGGGCGCGUAGGCGGCCUUCUAAGUCGAACGUGAAAUUCCCUGGGCUCAACCCAGGAACUGCGUCCGAUACUGGAAGGCUUGAAUCCGGGAGAGGGAUGCGGAAUUACCAGGUGUAGCGGUGAAAUGCGUAGAUAUCUGGAGGAACACCGGUGGCGAAGGCGGCAUCCUGGACCGGCAUUGACGCUGAGGCGCGAAAGCCAGGGGAGCA
rnacentral:rRNA from 1 species